UACGGAGGGUGCGAGCGUUAUCCGGAUUCACUGGGUUUAAAGGGUGCGUAGGUGGGAAUGUAAGUCAGUGGUGAAAUCUCUGAGCUUAACUCAGAAACUGCCAUUGAUACUAUGUUUUCUUGAAUUUUUCUGGAGGUCAGCGGAAUAUGUCAUGUAGCGGUGAAAUGCUUAGAUAUGACAUAGAACACCAAUUGCGAAAGGCAGCUGGCUACAGGGAUAUUGACACUGAGGCACGAAAAGCGUGGGGGAUCAAAACAGG
rnacentral:rRNA from 1 species